GACGAACGCUGGCGGCGUGCUUAACACAUGCAAGUCGAGCGGUAAGGCCCUUUCGGGGGUACGACGAGCGGCGAACGGGUGAGUAACACGUGGGUGACCUGCCCUUAGCUCUGGGAUAAGCCUGGGAAACGUAGGGUCUAAUACCGGAUAUGACUCCAUGACGCAUGUUGUGGGGUGGAAAGCCUUGUGCGGCUAGGGAUGGGCCCGCGGCCUAUCAGCUUGUUGGUGGGGUGAUGGCCUACCAAGGCGACGACGGGUAGCCGGCCUGAGAGGGCGACCGGCCACACUGGGACUGAGACACGGCCCAGACUCCUACGGGAGGGCAGCAGUGGGGAAGUCUUGCGCAAUGGGCGAAAGCCUGACGCAGCGACGCCGCGUGAGGGAUGACGGCCU
rnacentral:rRNA from 1 species